AGUUUGAAACCCUAAAUUUAUUUUUCUCUUCUCCAGAUUCCAGAAAUCAUAGUGAGAGGCUGAAGCUGAGAGCAAUAGCCAAUAGAGCAUCGAGCUUCUUGCCUUCUUCUUCUCCAACACCUACUCGUUCUUGCCACCGUCCUCCGUCCGAGAGCAGCUGAGCAGCGCUUCGCCAUCAACGUCCUCUGUCCGAGCGCAGAACCUAGCCUCCGUCUUCCGUCCUCCUUCCUUCGUCGCUGUGUAUCUGUCACCAUCGCCGUGAGUCCAUCGCCGUACCCUUCGUCCGAGAGCAGCUGAGCAGAAUUUUGCCAACGUCAUCCUCCGUCCAAGCGCAGAACUUACCCGACGUCCUCUGUCCUCCGUCCUCCGUCCUUCGUCGCCAUGAGUCUGUCGCCGUUGCCUUGUUUUGGAGAAUGAGCUGUAUUCCUUUUCAAAGAAACAAAGUAGUUUUUGAAGAGUCAAUGAAGUUUGUUUCUACUGGAAGUUACUAUUUGGAAGUUACUAUUUGCAUCGGAAUCGACCCUCGUCCAGUCGUCCGCGCCUCUCCUGGUCCCGAAACGCACCACCUCCACCAGAUUCUCCCCGCAUAGCAUCAGUUUAAAUCUUGAUUUGCAAACUUUUAAUGAUGAUGAAGAUAUUGAAAGUGAUCAAGAAUAAGGGUUGAAAAUCAUUUUAUAUCUAAUAUUGUAAUUUCUUUAUUAUGGUGUUAAAUUUGUAGUGAUCUAACAAUAUUUUUUUUUUAAUUUCAAGUUAUUUUAGCUAAUGACAUUGUAU